rnacentral:rRNA from 1 species
UACGGAGGGGGCUAGCGUUGUUCGGAAUUACUGGGCGUAAAGCGCACGUAGGCGGACUGUUAAGUCGGGGGUGAAAUCCUGGGGCUCAACCUCAGAAUUGCCUCCGAUACUGGCAGUCUCGAGUGCGGGAGAGGUGAGUGGAAUUCCCAGUGUAGAGGUGAAAUUCGUAGAUAUUGGGAAGAACACCAGUGGCGAAGGCGGCUCACUGGCCCGUAACUGACGCUGAGGUGCGAA